rnacentral:rRNA from 1 species
AUUGAACGCUGGCGGCCGGCCUAACACAUGCAAGUCGAGCGAGCGGCGGACGGGUGAGUAAUGUAUGGGGACUGCCCGAUAGCGGGGGAUAACUACUGGAAACGGUGGCUAAUACCGCAUACUAUCGGAUAACCCAUAUGGAGUUAGCUAGUAGGUAAGGUAAUGGCUUACCUAGGGGACGAUCCCUCGCUGGUCUGAGAGGAUGAUCAGCAACACGGGGACGGGGACACGGCCCAGACUCCUACGGAGGCAGCAGUGGGGAAUAUUGCACAAUGGGCGCAAGCCUGAGGCAGCCAGGCGGCGUGUAUGAAGAAGGCCCUAGGGUUGUAAAGUACUUUCAGUCGGGAGGCGUUACCGAAAGAAGAAGCAACGGCUAACUCCGUGCCAGCAGCCGCGGUAAUUC